ensembl:lncRNA
CCCACUCUAUCUCCACAUGGUGGGUUCUCUUCCUUUGGGCUGUGUGGUGCUGGAGGUUGUAUGUGGUGUGCUGGAGGUUGUAUGUGUGGUGCUGGAGGUUGUAUGUGUGGUGCUGGAGGUUGUAUGUGUGGUGCUGGAGGUUGUAUGUGUUGUGCUGGAGGAUGUAUGUGGUGUGCUGGAGGUUGUAUGUGGUGUGCUGGAGGUUGUAUGUGGUGUGCUGGAGGUUGUAUGUGUGGUGCUGGAGGUUGUAUGUGUUGUGCUGGAGGAUGUAUGUGUGGUGCUGGAGGUUGUAUGUGUGGUGCUGGAGGUUGUAUGUGUUGUGCUGGAGGUUGUAUGUAGUGUGCUGGAGGUUGUAUGUGUUGUGCUGGAGGUUGUAUGUGUUGUGCUGGAGGUUGUAUGUGUUGUGCUGGAGGUUGUAUGUGUUGUGCUGGAGGUUGUAUGUGUUGUGCUGGAGGUUGUAUGUGUGGUGCUGGAGGUUGUAUGUGUUGUGCUGGAGGUUGUAUGUGGUGUGCUGGAGGUUGUAUGUGUUGUGCUGGAGGUUGUAUGUGUUGUGCUGGAGGUUGUAUGUGUGGUGCUGGAGGUUGUAUGUGUGGUGCUGGAGGUUGUAUGUGUGGUGCUGGAGGU